ACGGAGACGACAAGACUGUGCUG
rnacentral:miRNA from 1 species